CAGGAUUCUAUGAAAACAUGAACAAUUUUCUCUGUGGCACAUUUUCCUUCCUGAUUCCCAGCUUGUGAUAUUAAAAAAGUACAACCUCACUCAAAGGGAGCCAUACGGAAAGAACAGCUCUCUCAGAAUUAAAUAAUUCAGAAAAUUUGGGGCCACGAGGACACAAAAGAAGCACGGAGUGAGAGAAAGCGAUCAUAAUAUUGAAAAGCCCUAAUUACGCCUCUUCUCAGGGAACAUUUAUUUACAUGAAAAUAUUUUACAUUCACAGGUACUUAUCAAUUUUCCUUCAUUUGAAAUUCAGGGUAUUUUGAGAAUGUUUGAUUCUAUUAGCAAUUGUUAUUAAGUGAUAUUUUAAAAGAAAUUUUUGUGAUGCCACGGCCCAUGGGAGGAGGCAGUGUCUGCAAAAGUGGAA